CAGUAGCCGCGGUAAUACGAAGGGUGCAAGCGUUACUCGGAAUUACUGGGCGUAAAGCGUGCGUAGGUGGUGGUUUAAGUCCGUUGUGAAAGCCCUGGGCUCAACCUGGGAAUUGCAGUGGAUACUGGGUCACUAGAGUGUGGUAGAGGAUAGUGGAAUUUCCGGUGUAGCAGUGAAAUGCGUAGGGAUCGGAAGGAACAUCUGUGGCGAAGGCGACUAUCUGGGCCAACACUGACACUGAGGCACGAAAGCGUGGGGAGCAAACAGGAUUAGAUACCCCGGUAGUCCCUGUCUCUUAUAC
rnacentral:rRNA from 1 species